CGCGCACGGAGGUUGCCAUGUCGCGGACGCUACAAUAUGAGGCUAACUACUACAACACCGUCAGACCAAGAGGUUGUUUUGGCAGAGGUUGGUGGUGAUAUCAGCAGCAGGUAGCAUUGCUAACAGCAGCAGCAAUGCUAGUGCAGUGGCACCUGCCACCAGCAAACACGACCGCCAAGAACGAUUCAAAGGGGGAAAAGGAGGCGGUGGGAUCAGUGGCUGCUUUGUGGGCUGUUUACGACAAAUAAACAGGCAGUUCGAGCCUCAUGUUCUGCAAAUUACACAGAAAACACAAACUCCAAGAAAAACACUCCUCAUGAAAACAAAGUCGUCCUGUCAACAGAAGAGAAUCGUUCAUAAAAACCUUCAGCAGUGUAUUGACCCGUGCAGUAAACACUAUUGCAUCAAACACCUACGUAGUUCAGAAGCAGAUGAAGGUCAAUGUCAGGUUUGGAAAAGCUUCAGCCUCAUUUCUCUGCACAAAUACGCACUAAAGAUGGCACCAGCUCAUGGUGUUUAAUGCUGUCAAGUAUGAACUUUUUAAACAGAGAGAUAGUGAGGCGAUGAUGCAUCAGCUUUGGAAUGAGGUAAUGUAAAAGUGAGAGACAGACAUUACCGAGGAGGAUCGAGAAUAUCACGCUGAUGGCUGUAUGCGGAGGGCCCAGCCUUGGGGUUUCAACCCCAACCCACUGGACCUCCAUGACCACCAGAUGUGCUCCAAAAUAAAAGCUGCUGCAGGAUCCAGCCCGGGCUUUGGAUAGAAGAAUAUCCCUUUGCUUUGACACAGCCUGGAUUAAAUACGAAAGCUGCAGUCUGGGUGUUUCAACCCCGAAGGAGGCACGUCCCAAUGAUGCACCUACAGUGCUGUAUAGUCCUGGGGGGAGGUGAACCUGCCUGCCAGCCCCCUCAGCACUCUGAGACUCUAGGUGAGACAGAGGGCAGAGGAAGAAGAGGAAGAGAAGGAGAAGGAAAAAGUUAAUCAAGUACAAUCUCAGGACAAACAGUUCUUCAUUUUUAGCCAGAAAUAGUGUAUGUAUGUUUCUUGCAUGCGUGUUUCCACAUAUGCAGUUUAUUUUUAAUGAAUAUAAAAGAGGUAAAGCUAAGACUAGCUACAUGCUUUUAAGCUAAGGUAAGUACAAGAUCUACAUCUCCUACCUGCCCCUGCAGCCGGUGUUCCCCUCUCAGAGGCCGGCCGGCUGCCUGCACAGCUGAGUCAGUGUGAACAGGACAGCAGGCAGAGCGGCAAACGCUCACUGCGCACAGUCAGGGUUCACUCAAGGAGAAUCCAGCAGCAGCCAGCACUUUCACUGCAGAGACAGCCACAUUGCAGCCAG